rnacentral:rRNA from 1 species
GACGAACGCUGGCGGCGUGCUUAACACAUGCAAGUCGAGCGGUAAGGCCCUUUCGGGGGUACGACGAGCGGCGAACGGGUGAGUAACACGUGGGUGACCUGCCCUCAGCUCUGGGAUAAGCCUGGGAAACCGGGUCUAAUACCGGAUAUGACUCCAUGACGCAUGUUGUGGGGUGGAAAGCCUUGUGCGGCUGAGGAUGGGCCCGCGGCCUAUCAGCUUGUUGGUGGGGUGAUGGCCUACCAAGGCGACGACGGGUAGCCGGCCUGAGAGGGCGACCGGCCACACUGGGACUGAGACACGGCCCAGACUCCUACGGGAGGCAGCAGUGGGGAAC